rnacentral:rRNA from 1 species
CCUACGGGUGGCUGCAGUGAGGAAUAUUGGUCAAUGGACGAGAGUCUGAACCAGCCAAGUAGCGUGAAGGAUGACUGCCCUAUGGGUUGUAAACUUCUUUUAUAUGGGAAUAAAAUGUUCCACGUGUGGGAUUUUGUAUGUACCAUAUGAAUAAGGAUCGGCUAACUCCGCGCCAGCAGCCGCGGUAAUACGGAGGAUCCGAGCGUUAUCCGGAUUUAUUGGGUUUAAAGGGAGCGUAGGUGGAUUGUUAAGUCAGUUGUGAAAGUUUGCGGCUCAACCGUAAAAUUGCAGUUGAAACUGGCAGUCUUGAGUACAGUAGAGGUGGGCGGAAGUCGUGGUGUAGCGGUGAAAUGCUUAGAUAUCACGAAGAACUCCGGGUGCGAAGGCAGUUCACUGGACUGCAACUGACACUGAGGCUCGAAAGUGUGGGUAUCAAACAGGAUUAGAUACCCCAGUAGUC